UAUUGUAGCUUCAUCCAGCUGGAGGGGGUACUCCGUGAUUUGCUCAGACUCAAUGUGCUGGUAUUUUUCUACACCUCCCUGAGCUUUUAAUUAGAUGAGCCAAUUUUACAUGUAUUUGUCUGCUGGAAAGGUUAUCUGUGCUGGAGCUGACCUGCAGAGACAAGGUUGAGCCUAGCGGUCUUAAUAGAAAAGGUUUUCAGCUAUGACUGCUGUACUUGAUUGCAUUGUAAUGGAACUGGUUUCGUGUGGUUACAUUCAUAGCAAAAAGUGUGGAGAAAAA